CACAUCCUAUCUGCAGCCUCUAGUCCAAGGCUCCCAAGGGCCCCACGAUAUCUGAUGCAUCUUAGCACAGAGCAAGCUAAUGCUGACUCAUGCCACAUCCCUGUUACACACAAGAGGUCAGAGAGGAGGCAAAGCAGAGCAGUUUUCCUCUGAGCCAGACCUCAGAGGUGGCCGUGGUAUUUUUAUUUUUCCUUCCACCAAACAAAAGGACCUGUGUAAAGCAAGGCAUCAUCUUACUGCAAGGGGAGACAUCGCUGGGGUCUGGUUAGAAGAUCCGGCUCUGUUUUCUCCAAUGAAGGUCUUUAUAGGAAAUCUGCAUUAGUGCCUUGUCCAUGUUCAUCGACCCUCUGCUUCACGGCAGAAGGGCACUGACUUGAAGGCCCCUAAGCAGCGAAGGAAGGGGAGCUUCUGUCCCUUCCCUAGCUGGCUUCCCUGGCACAUGCUGGUUUCCCACCAAUCCUGUGGUGCACGUCAUGACCAGGGGAGGAAAGAAUUCAGCUGGACCACCUCAAGGCCUGUGUGAUGGAGUUGAAAGCUUUGCUGAUGUACAUGUUGGUGGUCAAGGAAAGCUUUCUGAACACUUACCUGGUGCCCACAGAGGCUCUGAGAGCUGGAAGCUGGAAAGAGUCAGUCUGGGGUCCUAAAAGGUAUCUUCUCUUCAGUGCUGACAUCAGGGACAUAUUGAUGAUAGAAACAGGGUCCCUGCGUGGCCACAGGCACCAUUAAUUGGUUCAGUUUUCUUCCAUUUCUCCUGAGCUCACCCUGACCCUACGCACUGCUGACCAGGAGUUCUAACCUGCAGCAUCGUGGGUGGGCCCACCUUGCAGCCUCAUCAGGGUUGAGUU
rnacentral:lncRNA from 1 species